ensembl:lncRNA JPX JPX transcript, XIST activator
GACUUAAGAUGGCGGCGUUUGCACGGAGUGCAAUCACUGCGUCCUUACGGGGGUUGCAAGGCGUCCGAAGUAUGAGUCCACUAACAAAAGUCCAGAAACUCGCCAGUUAAUAGUAUUGUGUCUCUUCAAAAUAUCGGAGAAUAAUUUCUUUCUCGCUGAUCGCCUAACUUCUACUGACGAAGCUUGGAAGUUGCAGUGAGCCGAGAUCACGCCACUGCACUCCAGCCUGGGUGACAGGGUGAGACUCCAUCUCAAAAAGAAAAAAAACACAAAACAAAAAACCAAGGAGUAUGACUGCCGGUUCAUAUGGUAAGAGUAUAUUUAGUUUUGUGAGAAACCACGAAACUGUCUUCCAAAAUUGCUGUACUGUUGAUGCAUUCCCACCAGCCAUGAAUGAGAGUUCCUGUUGCUCCACAAUCUCAACAGCAUUUGGUGUUACCAGUGUUUUGGAUUUUCACCAUUCUAAUAGGUGUGCAAUGGGACUGUUUAAUUUGCAACUCCCUAAUGACAUACAAAGUUGAGCAUGUUUUCAUGUUCUUAUUUACCAUCUGUAUAUGUUCUCUGGCGAGAUUUCUGUUGACAUCUUUUGUCCAUUUUAAAAAUUGGGCUAUUUAUUGAGUUUUAAGUGCUGUCUGUAUGUUUUAGGUAACAGUCCUUUAUCAGUUAUGUGUUUUGCAGAUUUUUUUUGACUUAUCGUUUCAUAUUUUAAUGGUGUCUUUUGUGGAGUAAUUUUUUUUUAAUUUUAAUAACAUUUAGCUUGUCAAUGAUUUCUUUUAUGGAUUAUGCUUUUGGUAUUGUAUCUAGAAAGUAAUUGCCAUACCCAGUGAUGUCUAGAUUUUCUCAAAUGUUGGAGUUCUAUUUACAGUUUUGCAUUUUACAUUUAGGUCUGGCAUCCAUUUUGAAUUAAUAUUUGUGAAGGGUGUAAAGUUUGUAUUAGAUUCAUUUUUUGGCAUUUGGAUAUUCAGCUAUUCCAACACUAUUUGUUGCUCCA